GACGUAGGGCGCGAGCGUUGUCCGGAUUUAUUGGGCGUAAAGAGCUCGUAGGCGGCUUGUCGCGUCGUCCGUGAAAACCUGCAGCUCAACUGCAGGCUUGCGGUCGAUACGGGCAGGUUAGAGUUCGGUAGGGGAGACGUGGAAUUCCUGGUGUAGCGGUGAAAUGCGCAGAUAUCAGGAGGAACACCGGUGGCGAAGGCGGGGUCUCUGGGCCGAUA
rnacentral:rRNA from 1 species